AGAAGGAUGACGUGGAGUAGAGAGAGAUGAGGAGGAGCGGGGAGAAGAAUAAAGUGCUGAUAGAACAAAGAGCGUAGCUUUGGUUUUGUCCCUUGAAACGGACAUUGACGGUAGAGUGGACGGCAGUGCUGACGGAGUCGAAUGGUGCAUUAUUAUUAAACGUUCUCUAUUAUCAGUGAGUUGUGGUAUUUGGAUUGGAAUUACAUUGUGCUUGAGAACAUGUGUCGUUUUUAUAUUUUUCUAACAUUUCACUUUUAUUUAUUUUUGGGUUUUGGAUUUAAUGGCAAGUUGGUACCACCGUUGGGUGAUUGUCACUUUAUUUAAUUCUUAUUGCAUUAAAAAUAUUUUUUUAAAUUUUCGUUGUGUUGAUAUUGUUAAUAAUAUUUGUGAUUAU
rnacentral:lncRNA from 1 species